AGGCGUGUAGCUCAUUGGCAGAGCACUGCCCCAACACGGCAGAUAAGGGGGUUCGAUUCCUUCCGCGCCUACCA
rnacentral:tRNA from 1 species